AUGCAAGUCGAACGAGGGAGUGUUCCGAAAGGGAAACAAACCGAGUGGCGUAAGGGUGAGUAAUGCAUUGAUAACCUACCUUUGAGACGGGGAUAACAACGUUCCGCAAGGGACUCCCGAAAGGGUUGCUAAUACCCGAUAAAACUCAUGGUGCUUCGGUAUCGGGAGUCAAAGGUUUGGGGCUGAAAGGUUCCAUAUGCUCAGAGAGGGGUCAAUGGGUAUCAGCUAGUUGGCAGGGUAAAGGCCUACCAAGGCGAAGACGGGUAGCCGGCCUGAGAGGGUGGUCGGCCACAUUGGGACUGAGACACUGCCCAGACUCCUACGGGAGGCUGCAGUCGAGAAUCUUUCGCAAUGCCCGGAAGGGUAACGAAGCGACGCCGCGUGUGGGAAGAAUUCCUUCGGGUUGUAAACCACUGUCGGGAGUUAAGAAGUGUAAGGGGGUGAAUAGCCCUCUUACUUGACGUUAGCUCCGCCGGAAGCCACGGCUAACUCUGUGCCAGCUACCGCGGUAAUACAGAGGUGGCAAGCGUUGUUCGGAAUUAUUGGGCGUAAAGAGCACGUAGGCGGCCCUACAAAUGCAGCUGUGAAAUCCUUCUGCUCAACGGAAGAACGGCAGUUGAUACUAUAGGGCUGGAGUGCGGGAGGGGAGAGUGGAACUUCUGGUGGAGCGGUGAAAUGCGUAGAUAUCAGAAGGAACAUCGGCGGCGAAAGCGACUCUCUGGCCCGUAACUGACGCUGAGGUGCGAAAGCUAGGGGAGCAAACGGGAUUAGAUACCCCGGUAGUCCUAGCCGUAAACGAUGGGCACUCGGUAGAGGGGUUUUGAUUAUCUCUCUGCCUGAGCUAACGCGUUAAGUGCCCCGCCUGGGGAGUACGGCCGCAAGGCUAAAAAAGUAAAAGAAUUGACGAAUGCUCGCACAAGCGGUGGAGCAUGUGGCUUAAUUCGAUGCAACACGAAGAACCUUACCGGGGCUUGACAUGGUAGAAGUAGGAGGUCGAAAGGGUGACGAACGGUAUCCAGUCCGUAGCUAUCACAGGUGUUGCAUGGCUGUCGUCAGCUCGUGUCGUGAGACGUUGGGUGCAGUCCCCUAACGAGCGAAGUACUUGUCUUUAGUUGCCAACAGGUCAAGCUGGGCACUCUAAAGAGACUGCUGGGUACAAGACGGAGGAAGGUGGGGAUGACGUCAAGUCAUCAUGGCCCUUAUGUCCCGGGCUGCACACGUGCUACAAUGGUCGGUACAAAGGGAUGCCAAGUCGCAAGACGGAGCGAAACCCAAAUAAAGCCGAUCCCAGUUCAGAUUGGAGGCUGAAACCCGCCUCCAUGAAGUAGCUUCGCUAGUAAUCGCGGAUCAGCUAUGUUAGGUGAAUAUGUUCCCGAGCCUUGUACACACCGCCCGUCAAGCCACCCAAGCAAGAUGCACCCGAAGCCACUGGCCUAACCCGCAAGGGACGGAAGUGUCUAAGGUGUG
rnacentral:rRNA from 1 species